rnacentral:rRNA from 1 species
CCUACGGGAGGCAGCAGUGGGGAAUUUUGGACAAUGGGCGAAAGCCUGAUCCAGCCAUACCGCGUGCGGGAAGAAGGCCUUCGGGUUGUAAACCGCUUUUGUCAGGGAAGAAAUGCUUCGGGCUAAUACCCUGGGGUGAUGACGGUACCUGAAGAAUAAGCACCGGCUAACUACGUGCCAGCAGCCGCGGUAAUACGUAGGGUGCAAGCGUUAAUCGGAAUUACUGGGCGUAAAGCGUGCGCAGGCGGUUCUAUAAGACAGAUGUGGAAUCCCCGGGCUCAACCUGGGAACUGCAUUUGUGACUGUAGAGCUAGAGUACGGUAGAGGGGGAUGGAAUUCCGCGUGUAGCAGUGAAAUGCGUAGAUAUGCGGAGGAACACCGAUGGCGAAGGCAAUCCCCUGGACCUGUACUGACGCUCAUGCACGAAAGCGUGGGGAGCAAACAGGAUUAGAUACCCUGGUAGUCCACGCCCUAAACGAUGUCAACUGGUUGUUGGGAGGGUUUCUUCUCAGUAACGAAGCUAACGCGUGAAGUUGACCGCCUGGGGAGUACGGCCGCAAGGUUGAAACUCGAAAGAGUAGUAGCGUGNGAGAGCGACGACGACGACGACGGAGGAGGAG